AAAAAAAACCCAAAACAGACUGUUUUUGAUCUGUGUGACUUUGUAUGGGAUGACAUGAGGGUCUGAGGACAUUUCUACCAGGAAGUAGAGAGUUAUCCUUGCUCACCCGAUUCUCAGCCUCAGCAAUUGUUCCCUUCUCCCUGUGUAAGCUUCUAAGAGCUGUUCCUCAUCCCGCACCCCCCAAAGGAGACAAGAUACCCAUGUGUGCCCAUCCCCCAUUCAAGAAGGACCCACUUGUUACUUGAGUGCAGGAUCAGAACCUGGUCCCCGGCAGCUCUAACAAGCCAGGCUUGGCCAUCUGUCCUCAACAGGACAAUGAAAGAGACGGUCACAUGAAAAGCAGAGGAAAAAGGCUUACUCAGCAUGGCCAUACUGGGAAAAGGAACAAGAAGGUUCAGUGACCUGAGCAGCAGCUGGAUUCUGACAUCACAGUCUUAGGGUGCAGAGGACAGACUGGAGGGGACCAGGCUGUGUCACUUUGCCACAGUGGAGCUGCACAUGGGGAUGAAUGGCCAGAACCAGGAAAAAGUCAAGGCAAAAGCUUUCAGACUUUGUGAUUAGCCUGGUGUGGUAGUGCAUGUCUGUAACUCCAGUGUGUGGAAGGGGAAGGCAGGAGGAUCAGUAGUUCAAAGUCGUCCUUGGGUGUGGAAGACCUCAAACAAACACUCAGUGAUUAGAUGGAUGACACGGGGACCAGGGAACAGGAACAAGUCUAAGUGUGUUGAGAAACACUCUGGUGAAACCACCAAGCCAUAUAGGAACUGAAAGAGGAAGUCUGUUUGAGAGUGUGUAAUGGCGGUUACUUUUCCACUGUGGUGAUAAAGCAUCGUGAUCAAAAGUAACUUGUGGAAGGAAGAAUUGGAUAUGGCUUGUGGUCCAGAAGGAAGGUUAAUAGUGGUGGGGCAGCUGAAGCAGGACACUGAGAAGUCACAUCUGCAACACAUGCAGAAAACCAGGGAGAAAGCUCCAAAUAAGUUGCAGCAAUAUAUUCUUAAAAUGCACCUCCAGUAACACAUAACUUCCAAAAGGCUGCACCUCCUAAACAGUCCAUAACCUCCACAAUAUGACCAAGGGUUCAAAUAGGUGAGCCUGUGGUGAAGAUUUUUCACUCAAACCUGCACAGGGGUGGGCUGACCAGGUGAUUUGUGGUUACAGUUGAAGUGCCUGUGCGGAUCUGACAGAGCUGUGAAAAAAACAAAGAACAACAAAGAAAAGUGUGCUUAUAAGUCAAAAGAGAAAACACAGAGAGAUGGGUCAGGAGUUCAGAACACUGGCUGCUCUGACAGAGAACCUGAGUUCUGCUCCAGCACCCAUAUCGGGCAGUUUACAACCACCUGUAACUCCGGCUGCAGACCAGUCUGAAGUCCUCUCCUGAAUCCCACAGGCAUCUACUCUCAUGUGCACAUAAAUUUAAAAUUCUAAAAACAAAGCAGUAACAAAAAACUUUAAAAGCUACAGUAGCUAGAUAAAUAAAUGAAUAAUAGAUUUUUCUAAAGAAAUACAGUAGCCCUCAGAGAGUACAAGGUGUCAGUGUCCAAGCCUGGGAACCACAUUUUGGAGGGAAUUGACAGAUGCAAGUUGCCCUCUGACCUCCAUACAAACUGUGGCACCACCUACCACAUAAGUGGAAAAAGACUAUGGUCAUUAAAACAGCAUAGUACGGACCAAGACAAAUAGACCAGUAGAGUGAAAUAUAAUCCAGAAAGAGACGGUCUCCAAAGUCACAAAAGGGAAGGCUGGUGAAUGCAGAGUAGAUGAGGCAGGAGUGGAAUGAGGGAACUCAAGGUUGGUGAAGGAAGCAGAGGAGACAGGGGUGGACAUGGACCUAGCAGAGAUCUGGGGAGGUUGCUGUGUAGGACACAGCCCAGCAGAGGGAGCUCAGGCUCCUCUCUGACUGCCUGGGGCAGGUUCUCUGCUCCCCUGUCCUCUGAAGGUGGUCUGCACACAGAGGACAGCUGAGAGGGGUGGUGGAGGAUCAGCACUGAUGUCACACUGACACUGUUUCUUCCCACAGGACAGAGGACUAAAGCCGAAACCCCAGCCAGGGACCUCAUUGAAAACACUGAGAAUGUUGAACCUGAAGGGCAAUAUAUGGACCUCAAAGUGAACACCAAGGAUAACAACAUCGUGUAUGCCUCCAUUGCCCGCUCAAGCCCAGCCUCCCCAGGACCACCACCCUGCCAGCCUGUCCAUGGGAACCCCCAGGGAGAGACUGUGUACUCCAUCAUAAAGACCAAAUGAAUGGGUCUGGGUGACGAUCUCAGAGUCACAUGUGCUUCUAGUAGGAAGACUCCCAGCUUCCAAUGAUACCCACAGCCAGAGACAAAAUCUCAUGGGUCACUGAUACCCAUGGCCAGAGACAGAAAUCCACAGGUCAGGGCGUUUGAGCUCAGA